CCCUUAGAUGUUCUGGGCCGCAUGCGCGCUACACUGACGGAGUCAACGAGUUGUCCUGCAUCGGAAGGUGUGGGUAAUCUUUUGAAACUUCGUCGUGCUGGGGAUAGAUCUUUGCAAUUUUCGAUCUUGAACGAGGAAUUCCUAGUAAGCGUGAUUCAUCAGAUCGCGUUGAUUACGUCCCUGCCCUUUGUACACACCGCCCGUCGCUACUACCGAUUGAAUGGUUUAGUGAGGCCUCGGGACUGGCGCGCUCGAGUAGCAAUACACCUGCGCGCCGGGAACUUGGUCAAACUUGAUCAUUUAGAGGAAGUAAAAGUCGUAACA
rnacentral:rRNA from 1 species